rnacentral:rRNA from 1 species
GAUGAACGCUGACAGAAUGCUUAACACAUGCAAAGUCAACUUGAAUUUGGGUUUUUAACUUAGAUUUUGGGUGGCGGACGGGUGAGUAACGCGUAAAGAACUUGCCUCACAGCUAGGGACAACAUUUAGAAAUGAAUGCUAAUACCUGAUAUUAUGAUUUUAAGGCAUCUUAGAAUUAUGAAAGCUAUAAGCACUGUGAGAGAGCUUUGCGUCCCAUUAGCUAGUUGGAGAGGUAACAGCUCACCAAGGCGAUGAUGGGUAGCCGGCCUGAGAGGGUGAACGGCCACAAGGGGACUGAGACACGGCCCUUACUCCUACGGGAGGCAGCAGUGGGGAAUAUUGGACAAUGGACCGAGAGUCUGAUCCAGCAAUUCUGUGUGCACGAUGAAGUUUUUCGGAAUGUAAAGUGCUUUCAGUUGGAAAGAAAGAAAUGACGGUACCAACAGAAGAAGUGACGGCUAAAUACGUGCCAGCAGCCGCGGUAAUACGUAUGUCACGAGCGUUAUCCGGAUUUAUUGGGCGUAAAGCGCGUCUAGGUGGUUAUGUAAGUCUGAUGUGAAAAUGCAGGGCUCAACUCUGUAUUGCGUUGGAAACUGUGUAACUAGAGUACUGGAGAGGUAAGCGGAACUACAAGUGUAGAGGUGAAAUUCGUAGAUAUUUGUAGGAAUGCCGAUGGGGAAGCCAGCUUACUGGACAGAUACUGACGCUAAAGCGCGAAAGCGUGGGUAGCAAACAGG